ensembl:misc_RNA Metazoa_SRP Metazoan signal recognition particle RNA
GCCGGGCACGGUGGCUCAUGCCUGUAAUCCCAGCACUUUGGGAGGCUGAGGUGGGCGGAUCACCUGAGGUCAGGAGUUCAAGACCAGCCUGGCCAACAUGGUGAAACCCCGUCUCUA